rnacentral:lncRNA from 1 species
UUUUUUUUUUUUUCCUUUUUUAGGGCCUCACCUAUGGCACAUGAAAGUUCCCAGGAUAGGGGUUGAACUGGAGCUACAGCUGCUGGCCUGUGCCACAGCCACUGCAACCCAUGAUCUGAGCCGUGUCUGCAACCUACACCACAGCUCACAGCAAUGCCAGAUCAUUUAACCCACUGAGCAAGGCCAGGGAUCGAACCUGCAUUCUCGUGGAUACUAGUCGGAUUAAACAGUCGGAUUAAAUAGUUCUGCUGCACCACAGCGGGAACUCUGAUGCUAAGUCAUUUUAAGCAAGGAAUUAUGUCAUUGACGUUUCUGUACUUCCCUCUUUUAUUCUCAAGUGAUAGUCACAGUUCUUCACACAGAUUAGGAAUUCAAUACAAAUUAAUUAAAUACAAGAUUUUUAUAUAUUAAUAGAUAAACACUGUCAUCAUGCAUGUUUUACACCACUCAUAUUUCAGUAUUCUCAUGUUGCCAUGUAUUAUUUGUAAGUCUUUUCCAUUUUAUUGAGUAGUGAAUCAGUGGAAGAAAGAACUUAUAUCUUGUGCAUAUUUGCACAUACUUUACUUUUUUCCCACUUUCUGUUUCUGAAGCUGAAGAACUCACAUCAUCCCCUCGUAUAUUUGUUGAAUAAAUGUUCACUCAAAUAGACAAGAGAUACAUUCACAUCCUUCAUGUCAUUCCUUUAUUCACUCAUUUAUUCUUGUUAUUUGAAGCACCUUCUAUGCCAGACAUUAACUUAUUUGCCACAUAUUCCAAGCACUCAGCACAGCCUGCUCAGAAUCAACUCUUUGUGUGUGUGUCUGUACACUUACAGAAGAGCUCAUUGUUUUGGAGGGGGUAGAGGAAGCAGUCGUCAUGCUUAUAUUUAAGAGAAAAGAGUGCUCGUAGUCAGCCUGCCCACCAUGAUGAUAAUAAUAAUCAAAUAUGCACAGAGGGCAUGACAGGAAAUUGUAUUUAUAGCAGGAUGAGCUAGGCUGCUCUAAACAUAGACCCAUAUUUUUAAUUCUGAGGAUACAUCCAGAGGAAGGAUUGAAGGAUCAACCCGAAGGUCUUGAAAAAACUAGAGAACUAGAGGACCAUGGUCCAGGCAAGAUGUCUAUUGGGGAAGUUCUGGCGGCAAAGAGGAAUUCCAGGACUGGCACUACUCAGAAGUGAAGGAGUCAGGCAUUUGGCAAAUGGAAAACAUCCUGGCACAUGGCCUUGAUUAAUGCUUUCAUUUUGGGAGCUGGACCAGAAAUUACAGCAAAUCACACGCAAAGAAUAUGAAGGAAAUCAUGAAGCUAUCAUGGCAUAAAAAAAUUAACAAUCAGUGAUAAAAUAAAGAAGAAAAAGUUGGCUCUUUGAUGACAAUAAUGUAACAUGCCACAUCAGCACUUAUACAAAAGACAUAGGAAAAUUGGUAUCAGUGUGAAGAUUAAAAACAGUAGAUCAUUUAUAUUUAUACAAAUAUUAAAAAUAAGAGUAAUGUAAGCAUACAUCAUUAUCAGUGGUGAAAUGUUAAGUAACUUCCCACAAAGAAAUGGAAAAAUAAAAACAUAUCAUCUAUAGUCACUUUCAUUUAAAAUCAUGCUGGAGAUUUUAACUAUUUCAAGAAGGUAUCCAAAAAUAAGGAAGCCUACACUGGAAAAGUUUUUUUUAAAGAAACACUUUAUCAGUUUUAUCUAGUGGUGGUUAUGCCCUUGGAAUAUAUAAAAGAAAUCUAUAUAAAAUGAUUCCAUUUAUAAAUAAAUUUAGCAAGGCACUUAGUCUAGAUGUAUUAGUCAAUUUUAUUUCCAUAUCAGCAAUAAAAAGAAUAAAUUUUAAAAAUUAAUCCAAUUUUAACUGGCAACAAAUGACAUCAACAACUUGGUGGUAAGUCUUUUAAAAAAGCUCAAAACUCUAUGCAGAAACCCACAAAUGUCAUUGUUAUAAUUUUUUAAGCUGUAUAAUUGUACAUUUAUUUUUACAUGAAUUGAAAAAAUUGAUAAUGCGAAAAAUUCAAUUUUUCUCAAAAUUUUCUGUAAAUUCAAUUCAAUCAUUAUUUCCUAAUUCAAACUGAAAGGGAAAAAAAAGCCAGGAUAGACUUUAAGAAGAAUAAACCUGGAUAAAGUACACUACCAGAUCAAAAUAGUUGGUAAUAAGCUACAAUGAUAGAAAGAGUGUGAUAUUGGCACGGAUGUUGACAAUUCAACCACUGGAACACUGGAGAAAAAUUAUUAACAAACCCACAAUGAACAUGAUUUUUAUUAUGUAAAAGAUAAUACUGCAGUGUAAAUAGAAAAGGAUAAAUAUUUCAAUAAAUGAUGGUAUUCAAAGAGAUAUCCAUAUUAAAAAUAUGCAUAUAGAACUCUGCCAUCCAGAAAUUUAAAGAAUCCGUCCCAGAUAUGUUGUAAAUUUAAAUUUCAAAUAAAAAAUAAUCAUUUUUAAAACAUAGACUAUCUUUGUAGUCUUGAAAUUGGCAAAUUCUUUUUCAAAAAGAAAAAUAAACUAUUGCAAAACUGAAAUACAAUAAAAUUUAAAAUAUUUUAACUGAAAGACAUUUUAUGAGUGAAGGAGACUCUUCGAUAAGUGUUUUCAGGUCAUCUUUUCCAUAUCCAUAUCUAUAGAUCUAUCUGUUUAUUGAUAGACAUACAGAUAUAUAUAUAGUUAUAUAGAGAGAUAAAUAUAACCUUGACCAUUCUUUUCACCAUGCAUUAAAAAAAUUAAUUAUGGGAAUUCCCACUGUGGCUCAGUGGUAAUGAACCUGACUAGUAGCCAUGAGGAUGAGGGUUCUAUCCCCGGCCCCACUCAGUGGGUUAAGGAUCCAGCAUUGCCAUGAGCUGUGGUAUAGGCUGCAAACAUGGCUCAGAUCCCACAUUGCUGUGGCUGUGUUGUAGGCCAGCAACUGCAGCUUCAAUUUGAUCCUUAGCCUGGGAACUUCCAUAUGCCUAAAAAGACAAAAAAAUAAUAAUUUUAAAUCGAUCACAAAUUAAAUAUUUUAAAAUGUGUGUUUUCUAAAAAAUAAAUAUGAUCUUGAGGAAAGCAAAGUUUCCCUAAAUAUGAAACAGAAAACAAACCGCAAAAUAAAAUGCUAAUAAUAUAGACAUUGUAAUUAAGAACUUGUAUUCAUUUAACAAUGUUAUUAAGAAAAUGAAAAAGAAAACCACAGACAGGGAGAAAAAAAUGCAGUACAUUUAUUUAAUAAAUUACUCAUUACCAGAAUACACAAAUAUCUCCUUCAAACUAAUGAUUGAGAGGCUAAUACCCAAAAGAAAAUGGAUAAGAUAAUUGAAGCACCUCUUCACAGAAUGAUAUUGCAUAUAACCACGUAAAAUGAUGUUCAAAUUCAUAAGUCAUUGUGACAUGUAAAUUAAAACCUUCAUGAAAUACCUGUACACAUCCUAAACAAAGUUACUAAAAUGAUAAAUACAGAGGAUAUUACAUAUAGGUGAUGGUGAAGAUCUGGAAACUCACCACUGGUGUGAGUGUAAAUCUGUUAAAACACCAUUUAAUGUACUUUGCAUCAACCAAAACUAAAUAUAUGCAUGUUUUACAAUGCAAUGAUCCUAUUCAUAGGUAUCUACCUAAGAGAAAUUCUGAGCCUCCAAAAUGUCUGCACAAGAAUUUCCAAUAGCAGUUAAAUAAAUUGUGGUAUAUUCUUACAUUGAGAUGCUGAACAUCCAUGAGAAUGAGUGAACUAUAACUGCACACAGCAAUAGGGUUGAAUCUCACAGUCAAUACCUGGCAAAAGAAGCCAGAGUACAUGCUAUAUGUACUAUAUAUAGUCAAACUAUAGUCAAAGAAAAUAAGACUUUCAUUACUAUGAAAAUCUUGUAAAUUUGAUUUUGGCACUGGAUUCCUGGGUUUACUUGAUACAAAUUCAUUUUUCUCUACAUUGUGAUUUUCCUCUCAUUGUGUGUGAAUAUAAAAACUAAUUUCAAAAAGUGCAUGCAUGCAAUACCAAGUGUUUAGAAUAUAGCUCCCAGUCACACAAGGACCCAUUAAAGGAUCUAGGAUGUAAACUGCUGAUUGUAAUUUUAUUAGCUUGCUAGGGUUGUCAUAGUAAAAUACCACAGACUGGGUGACGCUGGAAAUUGAUUUUCUCACUUGUAGAGGCUGGAAGUCCCAAGUCAAGGAUGGGCAUCUCGGGAGAGAUUUUUCCCUGGCUUGCAGGUGGUCACCAUCUCCCUGUGUGUUCACAUGGUCUCCACUUUGAGUGCUUGUGGAGAGAGUGAGAGAGA